ensembl:lncRNA
AGGUAGCCUAGUGGUUAGAGGAGACAGGUAGCCUAGUGGUUAGAGGAGGCAGGUAGCCUAGUGGUUAGAGGAGGCAGGUAGCCUAGUGGUUAGAGGAGGCAGGUAGCCUAGUGGUUAGAGGAGGCAGGUAGCCUAGUGGUUAGAAGAGGCAGGUAGCCUAGUGGUUAGAGGAGGCAGGUAGCCUAGUGGUUAGAGGAGGCAGGUAGCCUAGUGGAUAGAGGAGGAGGUAGCCUAGUGGUUAGAGGAGGCAGGUAGCCUAGUGGUUAGAGGAGAC